rnacentral:lncRNA from 13 species
CUCAGCCUUCCUCUCCUCUGAAGACCCAGUGAGGGUGGAGCUCAGUCAGAGAGCUGUUGAGGGACUGGUUAGGAAGAACACUUCUACAGCCAGAGAGGUGAGAGGUCACACAUGGUUUAGAUGGUAAAUAUUUAUGUCCCCUUAGUGGUUCAUCACAUCAGCAAAAGGGAAUAUGUUCCAUCAUCCAUGUUUAUUUACAUUAGUACAAAUUGACCACUGAUAUUGGUGUAAUUUCUCACCCCUUUUGGCUGUAUGAAAGUUAAUUUUCCCUCAGACACAAACAUUUGUUCUUUGUUAUUAUGAAGGUCAUUUGUGUAAAACAUACUUUCCCACCACUCAUUCACCCCAUCUCUUUACUUUGGUUAUGCUGACAUGGUUAUGCCCGACUGCGUCCAGACUGUCACUAGUCGGUGGCCAGACUCAAAUUCCGAACACAACGCCCAUCCUGGUAGAUCUAAACCUAAUGCAGCUUGGAGUGAUCGGAUGACAGAAGUCACAUUUAGGUGCCAGGUGUAACUGAGGCCAUAGAUGCUCCAUAUCCAUUACUUUGAGAGUUUUAUAUAAUAUUACUAAAUGUAUUUCUUUCUGUGUGUCAGGGGCAGUCAAGAAAUGGAACGGCAAGGACACAGAUCAUGACAUAAGCAGAGCUGUGGGAGACCACCUCAAGCCCCUGGUAGAGCCGGGGGUGGUGUUUACCUCUCCACCACGCCUUCAGCAGGCUGGAAAAGUGGGAUUGAUCUGUUUGAUCCAGUAGUUGAAUCCUUUAACAUGUGGUUGAUUUCAACAUUUUUCCUUUUCAACAAAAAAUGCAUUGAAGUCGGUCAUUGGGUUGAAGUCGGUCAUUGGGUUGAAGUCGGUCAUUGGGUUGAAGUCGGUCGUUGGGUUGAAGUCGGUCAUUGGGUUAAUUUGUUUUGCAAUUUGAAAAUAUAUAUCAAGAUUUAUUUAUACAUUUCAGACAUGGACGAAUAAAAACAAUGGAAAUAAAAACUGAAAUAUUUACUACACAACAAAACAUAAGAUGAUAAAAAAACAAAAAUAGUGCAAUGCCAAUGUGGUAACAACUCCUUUUUUUGUUAAUCAAAUAAAUAGUACUCUUUCAAUUCAGAACCUGUAUUUUUCCCCCGAUGAGUCUAAUAUCCAUAUCAUGCUGAAAUCAAUAGAACAGGGGACAAACGUUUAGGGUUCUACAUUGUGACAUGAUUAAGAUACUCCUUCUACAAUGUUAAAACAUUCUACAUUGUGACAUCAUUAAAAUACUCCUACUACAAUGUUAAAACAUUCUACAUUGUGACAUUAUUUCAUUGAUAUCAUGAAACAACUCCUUCAUGUAUUUUCUGAUGUUUAAUAAGAGAUCGAUUAUCAGAGUAUCUCUUGUCACAUUGAUCACAACUAUGUGACUUCUCUCCUGUGUGUCUUCUCUGGUGCUUAGUCAAGUUACCAGACUCAGUAAAACUCUUCCCACAUUGAUCACAGCUAUAUGGUUUCUCUCCUGUGUGUGUUCUCUGAUGCUUAGUCAAGUUACCAGGCUCAGUAAAAGUCUUCCCACAUUGAUCACAGCUAAAAUAUUUCUCUCCUGUGUGUGUUCUCUGGUGCCUAGUCAGCUGACUAGACUGAGUAAAACUCUUCCCACAUUGAUCACAGCUAUAAGGCUUCUCUCCUGUGUGUGUUCUCUGGUGAACUAUCAGGCUGCUUAAGUGACUAAAACUCUUCCCACAUUGAUCACAGCUAUAAGGCUUCUCUCCUGUGUGUAUUCUCUGGUGUGAUUUUAAAUGUCCUGAUAUCAGAAAACACUUCCCACAGUCUGCGCAGUGGAAAGAUUUCUCUCCUGUGUGUGUUCUCUGGUGUGUAGUCAGACGGCUAGAUGUAGUAAAACUCUUCCCACAUUGAGAACAGCUAUAAGGUUUCUCUCCAGUGUGAAUUUUCUGGUGUGUGUUUAGUGACUCUGAUCUUGAGUAACUCUUCCCACAGUCUGAGCAGUGGAAAGAUUUAUCUCUUGUGUGUGUUCUCUGGUGUAUAGUCAGACGGCUAGAUGUAGUAAAACUCUUCCCACAUUGAGAACAGCUAUAAGGUUUCUCUCCAGUGUGAAUUCUCUGGUGUGCUUUUAGUGAAUCUGAUCUUGAGUAACUCUUCCCACAGACAGAGCAGUGGUGAGGUUUCAUUCCUGUGGGUCUCUGCUGGAAUUUGAGAUGUUCUGAAGUGGAGAGACUCUUCUCUGCCUCGUCAGCUUUGUGAUGUAGUUGGGGCUCCCCAGAGGAUCCACGGUAGUUCUGUCUCUCUCCUNNNNNNNNNNGAAUUCAGGGUGAGUCCCUGAGCUGAACUCAAACCUGGGCCCAGCGACUGUCAAGCCAACGCCUUAUAACUGUUAUGCCAAGGACUGACUGGAUGCAAGGACUGACCACUGGCAAUACAUCAAUAAUUUAAAAGUGAAAAUAUGGAUGUAGCAAUUGCAUAUUUCCCCUUUAACACCACUCAUCAGUUCAACAACUGCAAAGUUUGUGCCUCUGUUUUUAAGACAGUACUUACUAGUGUUAAUCGAGGAACGGUUUCUCAAAACCAUUUUACGGCUAAGUUCAUCAUUAGAACCAUCGGACACCUUAAGAUGCGUUUGGGAAACCGGGCCCAG